UAAUCAUCAUUUCAUUCUCUUUAACAGCUUUGCAAACACAUCAGCUCCCUUUUGAAAUCGAAAUAAACCAUGAACCCUAGAUAAUCAUAUAGAAAUAAACCCUAGAGAAGAGAGAGUCAUGGAGCGGAGGAGAAGGCGGCGAGAUUUUAGUCUUUCACCAUGUGGGGGGUCGUGGAUUGAAAAUCUUAAACCCUGGAGAGACAUUUAUAGGGAGAGAUCACUGGCGGUGACGAGAAAGGGUAUAUGUUUAAGCUCAAAACUCACGAGCACGUUAGGCCCACGCUAACUAAGCCCAUUUGAUAAUUAUAUUGAGUGACCAUAAUAACCUCCUAUCUGUCGCAUAAUAUCAAAAUUAAACUUCUCUUCAAAAAACCAGAAUAAUCUGUGAGCUUCCGUUCGCCUUCCACGUCUGCCCCUGCUCCUAUCUGAGCUCAAUCCGAAUAACUCUCGCCGCCGCAGCUAAUCACUUGCCACGCGUCACUUUCAAGCUGCCUCCAUCAUGCCCUGACCACCACCACCACAAAGCCGCCCCCGCCGCCGCAAUUCAUCUCCAUCUGAAAGCCUCUCUCAGAAAGAAUGGAAAACCGGUACCUAAAACGCCUCUUCCGCGACAUGUGGAUUUAGGUUAAGGUUGGUGGGUCAUUCUCUUGGAGCUUCUGUAGCUUCGUUACUAGCAAUCAUGCUCCGUAAAAAGUCAAUUAAGAAAAUUGGUUUUAUCCCUGACAUCGUUACUGAUGUUGGCUAUGCAACUCUGCCCUGUGUCUCCGGAGAACUGGCUGAAAGUUGCUCUCAUUUUGUUACAACCAUAGUAAUGCAGGAUGACAUUAUACAUAGAUUAAGUGCAGCUUCUCCGGCAAGACUGAGAAAUGAAUUCUUCAAAUUGAUUGGAUGAGUGUGGUCGAGGAGGAGGACUGGAAAAGUGUGAUAGGUUUGGUCACAAAUGCAACGCAGGUCAUCUCUUCUGUGCAGGAUGUUGCUCAGAAACUUGUUGAUUAUGCCAGGUUUGGUAGCAAGAAAAAUUCUUCUGGUAACACCAUCCUGCUGUGUCCUGAUUCCGGAUGGCUGGAAAAUGUUUUAUUUCUUGAACAAUAUCAGUUGUAUUUUUAGGUUGGCUAUCAAAAUACCUGACACCAGACAGGCUUAAUUUGGAUUUAGCAUCUAGUAAAACUUUAAAAGAAUGGUGUAGAUGAAGCAAAUUGCCCAUCCCCAUAGUAUUUACUCACAAAUGUAGGAACUCCAUCGCUGCACCUUUGUUAUGGCUGAAGAUCAGGGUAUCUCCAUGAAUGGGGCCACAGGGCAUGGAGUUGGCUCUAACCUUUGGUAAUGGAAUUCUCGAACCCCGAGCACUAAGCAAAGAUAUCAAAGGCCUUUAUCAUUGAACCACGCAGUUUUUUGGUGGUGUGUAAGAAUUUCUGUCAGCAAUGGGGUCAGGUGUUUGGAAGGCCAUUUGAGUGGGGUUUUUAUGCCUAGACCAAAAGAUUAUGUUGUUAUUGAGGAUUAGUAAUGGUGAAGCAGUGUUGCAAUAUUUGGAGUUGGAUAAUGUGAGAAAAGAGGGUUUGGAGGUUGCCUGGGUGCCGUGAAGUGUGAACAUUGAGUACCAAGCUGAAUUCGGGUUUAUUCAGAGACAUUUGUGGAAGAAGUAAGGAUGGGUGUCUUGAGAAGAAGUCACAACAGUUUCCAAAUGAAACAGAACGUUUUGUACAAAAGUGCAAUGGGAGAUGUGGGGAGGGGAGCUUAAUAAUAGAAAUUGUUUCAAACCAACAUUUCAGAGUGAUGCUAGGUUGGAUGUUUUACUUAAGAAUGACAAUCAUAUUUGUUGGUUCCAGUUGAUAGUAGUCUUAUGGAAGGUAACGUGCGAAUUGUGAUGUUGGAGAUGCCAUGUAGCAAUCCAAUAUUCAUGGACUGGCUGAUACUAAAUCGUUAACUCUUGCAAAUAGAACUGGCAACCAUUUACCUCUCAUAAUUCCCUGAGCUACCCGCUGCUUCUCUGAUUCUGGCACUUUGUCUUUGCCUUUUAUUUCUGUAAUUUUGUUGCGAGUAGCCAUUGUUACAGAUUCUCGAUACCGAAGGCUAAUUAGCAACGACAGGAAAAUAUCCAUGAAGUUCCCAGAGAGGCAUCGGUGCGCUUUGAAAUCCAAGAGGUUGAGGUAUUCAACUCCAAAUUUCCCCACAUUACAAAUAUUGCGGGGGUUGAUUGUCUUCUCCGCAAUCAGGUUUAUGCGGAUAAGCAUUAUGAAAAGAAAAGAAAAGAAAAGUUCCUUGCCAUUAAGAAUAUAGUAAAUAUUUGAGCUUACCCAUAUAACUGUAAAUAAUGGGAGUAAGCUUCCCCACCAUUACCUACCUUAAAAAGUAAUGGCUAAGCAAGAAUUGGCCGUAUCCAUUGCCACUUCUAGGCCACCCUACCCUAGGGUUUAUAGCAUCCAAGAAAAAGUAGAAAACCAAUGCUUAACACGCCUUAAACACACCGACUGCUAAUGCUUAGCCAAUUAAAAAUUGUAUGCCUCAUGAACACGCUUUUCUUGACUUAAUUUUGCACACAAAGCUGUACCAAACUAAAUUUAGAUGUUGUAAUUCUGGACUCAACUUUUGAAAGUGUUCCUAUUCGUGCAUGAUUGUGGAAACAAAAAAAUAAUAUUAUAUCUUGCUUCAAUUAA